rnacentral:antisense_RNA from 1 species
UAUGAGUAAUUUUUUCUCCUCCAAUAUUACUAGGAUGUGUAAUUUGAUCUUCAACAAUAUCACUGAUUUGUUGCCCAUGGGUGUUACUUCUAUGAC